AUAUGGUACUUUGCACCUCUUCAUAACUCUGAACUCUGCAGUGAGAGGUCUUGGUCCCACAAGGGGACACAGUUUUGCUGAGAGAUAUAUAAAAAAUCUCACUGAAAAACAUAAGCUGCAGCAGCUACCUGGAUACUUUCGGUUCCUUGUGUCUGUCUAGGGAGCAGCAGCCAAUAAAAGGAGUCAAGAUCAGUUGACCCUAAUCAAGAGGAGAUUGGAAUCCUGGUUACACAAUCUGGGCAGAAGUAAUAAAUGUGGUGCCCAAGUGAUAAACCUACCAAAUUGAGACUAAUGUGUAGGUGUGGCAACCCAUCCUCAAAAGGGCAUGAUGGCCUGGAACUCAGGCCUCUCAAGGAAUGUGGGUCUGAAUUAUACCAGAUAAACCACCAGGAGCAGCAGAGGUGGUAGCAGAGGCUGAGGGAAAUCUAGAAUUGAUAGUGGAGGAUGAGGGGAUGUGACAAGUAUUGAUGGCAUUCCCAAGCCCCACUGCAGCAGCAAGCACUGUAAUUUGUCCCACUAAUCUCCCAUCUUCUAAAUUUCUGAGAGGUCAAGAAAAGAGGUCUCUUGAUUCCUUUAGGAACUGCUCCCUAAGCAUACAGGGAGACAUAGAUCUAUGUGGAGCAAAGGGUGGAUUGUAAUAAGCAAAGAGAUACACUGCCUGAUUCACUUUAAGAAAGGACUGACCUCCCAGUUGCAAGGAAUGAGGUCAGCAGCCUCCAACUGUCAGCUCCUUCAGAGUCUGCUUCAACUGCAGAAGGACACUGUGCUUGAGGUCAUACCCUUCCCAUGUCUGGUGACUGAAGUCCAGCUGAAUGUAGCUGCCAAAGUUACCUUAAUGCCCAUGGGAAGCAAAAAAUCAAAGAGUUUAAACAGAAUUUUGAGAAAUCCCAAAUCAGUUUUUUUUCAGCAUAUGACAUUUUGGAGUAGUUUGUUAUUCAGCAAUAGAUAACAGAAAUUGGUAUCAGGAGUGGGGUGUUACCAUAACAAAAGGUUAAACCUUACAUGGUAAAAAGGACUUUGCCUCUGUCAUUAAGUUAAGCACUUUGAAAUGUAGAGAUUAUCCUGAAUUAUCUAGGUAGGCUCAAUAUAAGCAUGAGUCCUUAAAAGUGGAAGACGGAUACAUGAGAGGAUGUCAGAAUGAUGUGAAAUGAGAAGAACUCAACCUGCUAUUGUUGGCUUUACAGGUGAGUGAUAGGAACCACAAGCCCCAAGCAGCCUCUGGAAGCUGGAAAAAGCAAAGAAACAGAUUCUUUCCAGAGUGUCCAGAAAGGAAUGCAGUUCAGCUAACAUCUUGAUUUUAGAUCAGUGAGAUUUUUGUGUUGGACUUCUACAGAACUAUAUAAGAAUAAAUUGUGUUGCUUAAGCACACUAUAAUACAUGUGGCAAGAAGCUGCCAGCUAAGCCUUGAAGAAUAGUGAACAAACUCUUACUGGAGGAUGGGAAGGCAGUAAAUAAAUUAUUGAAUUAUUGAAAUAAAUGGAGGAUUGAGUUAUGCAUUGACAGAAUGCUUAGCAAUAAUUUUGCUUGUCUUAAUGUGGAACAGAAAAUGAAACUUAAUAGCUUGUAGAUGUCUUAAGGAGAUUUCCAGGUGAAUGUUGAAAGUACUGAUGAACUUAUUAUGGCUGCAUCUCAUAAUGUACAGGAAGACAUUUACUGAGUGAACUAAAGAAGGAACUGUUCAAUUUGAAAGCAGAAUUUAGAGGAAAUUUUUCAACCUAGUACUUGUCAUUUUUUUAUAGAAAAGGAAAAAUAGAUGGAAGAUGGAGCCAAAAUCCCAGAGGGAGGAGCCAAGAAGCAAGGAGAGCAAUGGAUUAGGAAACCACUACCAGAGGGAUGAACUGAACCACAAUCAAGGAAUAGCCUCUUCCUUUGGUGUAGGGGGACCCUGAAAACAAUUUAAUUUUAUGCUUCCUGUUUCCUUGUCUCCUUUUUUGAAUGAUAGUCUCUGUGUGGUGUUCCUAUCCUAGAAAACCUUAACUGGGACAAGCUACUCUCAAGCAUCUUCACUUGAGAAACAGUAACUGAGGAAGUUUAUUGUAUCUGGACAUGGUUUAGAUGAUAAGAUUCUGAACUUAAACUUAUGCCAUAAUGGAGUGAGACUCUUAGGGUACAGAGUAAGUACAUUUUUGCAUGUUAGUGAGACAAGAACUGUGGCCGGGGGCAGACUGUGAUAGUUUUUGAAGAUGUCCCUCAAACAAUUCCUUCCCUUCCUUGGACUCCUCUCUUCAGAGGGUAGAGUCCAUUUCCUUUUCCUUUUAAUCUGGAUUGGCCUUCUAACUCACUUUGACCAAUAAAAUGUGGUAAAAGUAAGGUCUGGCAGUUUUCACUUUCACUCUCCUGAACCUUCAUAUUAGAAUUCCAGGAUAUCCUUCUAGAGAUAUCCAUAUCUCUAGGGACAUGGUGAGUCCCUAGAGACACCACAUGGAAAGGCCACCUAGGGAAGAACUGAGAUGCCCCAGUCAAUAGCACUGCCUUAGUCAGUUUGGGCUAGUAUAACAGAAAUAUCAUAGAUUGAGUGACUUUUUUUCUUUAAAAAAAUGAGAUUGUGGAACCUGAAAAUACAGUGUAGUAAGAGUGGAGAGAAAGGCCACCUAAGGAAGAACUGAGACGUCCCAGUCAAUAGCACUGCCUUAGUCAGUUGGAGCUACUGUAACAAAAAAUAUCAUAGAUUGAGUGACUUAAACAACAGAAAUUUAUAUCUUACAUUUCUGGAGACUGAAAAUAUGGAAAUCCAAGAUCAGAGUUUCAGCAUGGUUAGGUGUUUAGUGGGCGCUCCCUUCCUGGUUUGCAGACAGCCAUCUUCCUGCUAUAUCCUCACAUGAUGCAGAGAGAGAGAACUCUGGUAUCUUUGUCCCCUUAUAAGGGCACCAAUCUCAUCAUGGAGGGUCUUCAACCUCAUGGCUUCUUGGAACCAAAUUACUUCCCAAAGUCCUCACCUCCAAAUCUAGCACAUUGAGGUUUAGGGCUUCAACAUAUGAAUUUCAGUGCAUAGAAAGCACCAAGUCCUCAGACAAAGAGAACUUGAACCUUCUAACUCAGCUUAGCCAUUAUCUGCAUGCAACCACAUAAGUGACCCUGGGUAACACCAUCUGGAGCUGAAGAACCACCAGCCAGUACACAGAAAUGAGAAAUUUUAAAAUGGUUGAUUUAGGUAAUUAAGUUUUGGGGUGGUUUAUUACAUAGCAAUUGAUAACUGAUACAACAGUCUUUUCGUUAGUAGAAGAGGGGGUAAGAAAGAAAGACUUAUGAAGAAAAGACCUGUAGAAAAUCGGGCCUACGUACCUCUAUUUUUUUUUCAUACUCCCGUGUUUUUUUUAGUCCAUGCUGGUGGUAUCCUCAUCAAUGCAAUUUUCUUUAAAACUCUGUGAGCCUUUAUAUCAGAUUAGUCCACCCCAUUAGAACAAAAGCAACUUCUAUAAAUAUUGAGACAUUCCCUUUCUACCUUUGGCUAAGAAUUGGGGUGCUAUAGAUAAUUCCCAAAAGAUUAUCUAGCCUACAGGGCCGAUGAGGUAUAGCUUGAAGUCAUUCUAAAGUCUUCACAAAGGAUCUUACAGCCUUUGAUUUUAUUAUCACUCUGGGACCACGUUUUACUGUUGGCACGUUCGGCUUUUCUCAUCUUUUCCCUGAGAUCAUUUAUGAUGUGGAAAUUACUUUGCUGGCUGAAGUUGGGAAUAGAAAACAGUAGAGAAUACUUCAAGAGUAUUCUAGGUAUGCACUAAGUUUAUGGGAAGAUAUGCCAUCUACAUAAUUUACCUUCCUCUCUAGGCCCAUCAUAAAAAUCUUUGAAAAAUUAAUACUACAUUUUAGUAUGAAUAUAAGUUAAACUUAGAGGUGAUAUCUAUUUUGUGGUUAAAUGUGUUAUAAACAUUUAUUUAGUGAAAUACAGUACAAUUACAACAAGCAUCAAUGAAUAUUUAAUGAGCAGCUGUUAAUUUCUGAAGCAGAAAGAAAGAUGAAUAAAAGUUCUGGUUUUACUUUUAAAAGUGAAGGCUAACUGUUAGCUCAAGAAAUACUUUAUGUUUGUCCUAUAUGAAAGUGUUGAUUGCACCUGGUUCUUUGCUGUAAAUUAAAUAAAAAUUCAAAUAUUUGUAAAA
rnacentral:lncRNA from 10 species